UCGGUCAAUAAAAACUUCUAAUUAAUAUUAUUAUUAUAAUAAUCAGAAGAACAUAAUGAUAUAAGUUGUUGGAUUCAUUUCCUAAAGGAAAAAUAUUGGAAGAGGGAAGCAAAUAGUAAAAUCCCAGCAACGAAAACAAGGGCACGUUCAAAAUUUGGUGCUUCAAAAGGAUCAAACACUUGAUAUUUUCAUCUCAAAGUUUGUUCAAUUUCCCACCUGUUUGGAAAGCUUUGGAUUGAUCCCUGAGGUUUGGAAAGGCUCAAAGAACUUGCUUACAAUCUUUUGCAGCUUUCGCGUAACCCCAUAUGUGGAAAGGACAAAGUAAAGACGAAAUACAUGAUUGGAGUUCUUUUAACUCCGAUAUUAACCUCCCAACUCCAUUUCCCUUUUCUUCAACAACUCCAUGGAACUCUGUAAGCAUUGAGAAGGUGGUGUUUCCUUCAAAACAAUAGCUUCUAAGAUGCAGGUAAACAAUUUACAAGCAUAUUUAUCAUGUUUCAAAAGCUUUCAUAAUAAUAUAGACACAUAUUUCGGUACGAGUAUGGAUCAUGAAAACUUUUCCUCAAAAAAACAAAGAAAAAGAAAAAAACAUGGCCUGAGCUUUCCUUUCAUAAAAAAUUACAAAGAUGAUUAAUAUAUACAAAGUACUUAAAUUUGAAAAUUAAUACCUACUUACUAGAACUAUUCAUUGAACGAGCUACCAGGCUCAAAGGCUCGCUUAAAAUUUGGGAGAAUUUAGGCAAAAAUAUUAGGCUCGAAAAAUUAGUUUGGACAAAAAAAAUUAGGUCUAUUUAAAAUAUGGGUCGAUCUCGAGCUUGAACAUUCAAAGCCCGAGCCUAACCCAAUCCGUUUUUAAGUUUAGAAUACUUUAUAUUAUGUAAUUUACAACACAUUAAAAAAAUUUAUAUUAAAUAUAUAAUAAUACUCUAAUGUAAACAUUAAAAUAAUGUUAAGAUCACUGUAUAAAAAAAUUCAAUAAAUAAAAUAAUAUAUAAAUUUAUUAAAUAUUAAAAUUAUAUAAUAUAAAUAUUUAAAGAAAUUAAAAAACAAUAUGGGUGGGCCUAAAAUGAGUUUUGAUUAGUCUUUUACAAAUAUGGCAAGUUUGGGUAAAAUUUUAUAUUCAUAUUUUGAGUCAAACCGGGCUUGGACAAGUAUAAAAUAUGUUAAUAUUAUGCUUAGAUCUAAUGUGACCCAUGAGCACCUCCAUUACUUGCUACCUGGAUUUUUGUUUUGGACUUAAUUAAUAUCUAAAUUUGAAACCAUAAUAUGAUUAUAUGAAGCAGCUUUAAAUUUUGUCACAUGAUAAAAAAGAUAAAAAUAUAUAUAUAACUUUUUAUAAAAUUUAAAUAUUUUUAUUUUUACCACGUACGUGUAACCAUAUUAAUACUCGUGAGUGCAGCAUAUAUAUAUAUAUAUAUAUAUUUUAACGAUGCAUGUUAAACCUUCCAAGACAUCCACUUCUUUUUUUUUUGAAUUUUUAUAAUUUAUUAUUAUUAUGAGGUGAUAUUGACAAUUUUGGUUUCAAAAUAGCUUUUUUUUAACAUGUGGCAAGCAUUUAUUGGAUGCUUAUUAUCACAUUAAUUUUUAAAGGGAAAAUUAAUGAGGUGCCAAUUUAAUAGAUCAAAUGAAAGCACAGAUAUGAAAUUGAUAAAUGAAUUCUCUAAAUACCUAAAUAAUAAUUUACCUACAAAUUAGAUAUUAAUUAUUCAAAAGAAAAUUUGAAUUGUUCUUCUGUUUGAUCUCCUGUAGUUGUUGCCUACACUUCAAUGUCUCAAUCUAAUAGAAAUGGCUGCCCCCACUCCCUGGCCCUUCAUCCAAACGUGCCACGAUAUCCCAAUUUUUUUACUAUUUCCCAGCAUUCUUGCCCGUUAAUGCCUAGGUUUUUAAUUUUUUUUUAAAAGUAAAUUUAUUAAUUUAUUUAAUUAAUGGAAUCAUACAAUUUAAGGAAAAAUAAUAAUAAACACUUAUCGCAGAUGGUGAAAGACAAACUCUAUCAAACAACAAAAGCUUUAGUCUUAGCAUCAAUGACACGUCAAUAAUGGACUAUUACAACUCAAACACGACAUAUAUGGAGUAAUUGCAAGUACUUAAUACGAUAAGAAAAUCAACUCUGGAUGGUCCAAAAGCGACGAGCAAAAAUCGACAAAAGAAUUAAGCAUUCACCAAACUAGAGAGGACGAUAACAAAAUCAUCCUUAAAAUCAUUUGUAAAACUAAGGCUACAUGCAUAAACAAGACUAAAAACGUGCUACAAGAAUAGACAAAAACUUCUAAAACUAAAAAGUUAUUAAAUAAACAAAAAAAUAUAAAACUUAAGACAACAUAGGUCCAAAUCGUCUAUCCAUUUUCCAAGAAAAAUUACUGGUGGGUGGUGGAGUUUUAGCAAGCAACAGGCGAUGUCGUCUAUCCAUCACAACUUGUGAAGGCAAAAAGAUACCCACAAAAUAGAUCUUCAAACUGAAAAAAAAAGAAGACACGUGGAGUGAAUUAGAAGCAGAAAGAAAGAAAAGGUUGGUGGGAGUGAGAAAAAGAUGAGAGAUAGCUAACCCGAAGGCUGGUACUGCUACGGGGCAAAACAAAAGAUAAGAAGUAAACAACUUGGAAAAAAAACAAUUUUUUAGGUUUUAAAUUUAAUUUUUAUUUCUUUAUUUAAUGAAAAAUAAUUUUAAGUUUUAUUAGAUAUUAUUUUUUAAUUUCAAAGAUAAAUUUUUUAUUAAGAUUUAGAAUCAAAUGAAGAUUUUAAAUUGAUUCAAUGAGUAAUAUGAAUCAUUAAAAGUAAAAAAGAAAAUUAAUUUUUAAUGAAUCAAUUACAUAUACUAAAAUCGAUUCGCAAGUAAAUGUGCUAAUCAAUCAAUUAAACCUAUUAUUUAAAAAUAGGUUUAAACAAAAAUUGAUAUUUAAAUUAUAUUAAUUUUUCUAUCUUAUUACCUCAAUUUUUUUAAUAGAAAUGAUACCUAAAUUAUAUUUUCAUUAUUUAAAUAACUCCUAUUAUUAGGUCUAUUAAAAAACAAUUAAUUAAAAUUUGGCACAGGGCACAAAAAGAUACAUAAGUAUUAUUAUGUAUUUAUUUAUGUAUGAUAUACAUUGUUAGUGGAGUAAAAAAAACAUUAUAAGCGGGUUUAGGUUGAUAUCAUUUGUUAUCAGGGUAUAAAAAAUAAAAUUUAAAUAAUUAAAAAAAGGAUACUUGAUAUCAUCUUAGAUUCACUUGUGGAGUAUUUUUACUCCACUCAUAGUGGAUAGAGUAAUUAUCAUGUCAUACCCCAAAAUAUAGGGGUAUAAUUGAAAUAAUUAACUAAGAAAUGAAGUAUGCUUGAUGGUUAAAUAGUUAAGUGCCCUCCCUAGAGGUCUUAGGUUUAAGCUACCCCUCACCCAUUUCUUUUACUUUUAUUUUCAACAACCUAGGAUAAAAACCACAUUAAAAUAAUAUAUUAUUAGGAGUAAUAUAAUUAAACAAAAAAUAGGCCUUAACCCUAACGGUUAAGAGCUUUCUUCCCCCUAAAUAAUCUAGAUUCGAUCCACAUUCUUCCCCUUCCAUCUUUUUUCAAUCUGGUCAAUUUUGGGUAUAUUGCCUAAGUCGCCCCCUAGGGUUCCCAAACCCUAGGUAUUUAGUUUAACUUUUCCCAAUUGAACUUAGAUUUUGUUUUCUCUUCAAUUCCAAUUAGAAUUUUCUUUCCUCUCACUAUUUUUUUCCCUCUUUCUUUUCUUCCCUCUCAUUUAAAUUAUAUUUUUCACCUUUUUGCUAUUGAAUAUUUUCUUCCUCGUAUCGAAUCAACCUCAUUUCUUGAUUUCUUAGCAGUAUCAUCAAAUAACAUCCUUAAUAUUUUCCAAGAAUUAGUAAGUACAUCUUAAUCCCAAUGAUUAACCUCAAAUUAUUAUAGAAUUUCUGUCCAACACUAAUCUCGCGACUGAUUAAAUGAUCUCUUAUGAUUCUUGCCAAAAUCUUUCGUAAAUUUUGUUAAAUCUUGAUACCACUAUUAGUUCAUGUGAAUUUGUUAUUGAAGGAUCAAAUUUAAGUGCGUCAGACCAAAAUCGAGCGUAAGGAACUUCAAUUGCACUUCCGGUGAAAGGUGUAUGUCUUUUCCCAAGUGAAUUGGUGGUGAUUGUGUGUAGAAUUAGGGCCAUAGUCUCCUACACAGGCGUGUGAACUACACGACCAUGUACCUCUGAAACCCUAGGCUAGUUCAUGAACCACACAGCCACAACUUGGCACACGGCUGUAUAUCCCCUAUAAGUUAAUUUUUACAUUUGUUACAUGACUACAAUCUGUUACAUGGGCUAACCACACAAUCAUGUAUUGUAACAGCCAAUUUUUGAUAAAAACAAAACAGUGGUUUCGGGACUACAAAUCCGAGUCCAGAAAGAAAAUUUAUUUUAAUACUAUUUUAUGAUCUACAGUAUGAUAAUAAUAUUGUGUGAAAUUUUCAUAAAGAAACUUUAUUGAUUAGAAGUUUAAUUUGAUAAAUGACCAAAUUGCACAAAGUGCAAAAGUUGAGUUUUAUUAGCUAAAAGGAUUAAAUAUCCAUAGAAAUUUAAAUUGGAGGUCUUUAUAUGGUAAUUAGACCAUUAAUAAAAAGUUAGUAGAUAUUUUUGGAUGAUUCAUCCAUGGAAAAUUAGAAAAAGGCUAAGGACUAAAUUGAAAAUCAAAAUAAUUAAAGAUGAUAAAUUAAUUAAAUAACAAAAUGUUAUCAUUUAUCAUCAUCUUCCCCAAAUAUUUUGUAUGGAAACCCUAGGAAAGAGAAAGAAAUCUUUCUUGGCCAAAUUAGGUAAGUAUUUAAGCCUGUUUUUAGUAAUUUUUAUAUUUUUGAGAUCGGGAUAAUCUAAUCUAGCUAUUUUGGGGAUCAAUUUCUAAAUUUAUCAAAGUAUGAAAAUUUUUCCAUGGAUGAAUAUGCUGAAAUUUUGAUAUUUAUGGUAGAAUUUAAAAGGUUUUUGAUAGAUAAACAACUUUUACAAAGUGAAUUUUGAUGAAAACAUAAUUUAGGGACUAAAUUGAAAAGUUAUAAAAUUCAUGAAAAAAAUUCUAAAUUUUAUGAAAUACAUGGGCUAUAAAUGUUACAUGUAAAAAUUGGUUGGGCUUGGAACAAGGAUUAAAUUGCAUGAAUUUCAUAUUUUGAGCUUAGGGAUAAAAUAGUCAUUAAUUAAAAAUUUAGGGGCAAAAUGGUAUUUUUUUCCUAAGAUGUGAAUUGAAUUGAAUUGAGUUUAAAUUUUAUUAAAUUUAUGUUAAAUUUACUCAUAUAGAUCUAGAUAUACUAAAUUUGUAGUUAGAACGAAGAAAAGAGAAAAAUGUCGGAUUAUUAGAUUUUAGGUACACAAACGUUUGUCGAGGUAAGUUCGUGUAACUAAAAUUGUGUAUAUUUACAUGCUUGAAUUAAAUGUUGUGUAUGCGAAUUAUAUAAAUAUCACAUAUAUAUAUGACAUUGAAAACAUAUCCGACAAAGCCCAAUAAAUGAUAAAUGAUAAAAAUGUUACUUUUAUGCUUGAAAAGAAUGUGAAUGUGUUUAUUUGAAUUGUAUGAAUGUUAUAUAUGUAUGAAAUAAUCACCUGCCUAAUAAUGCCUGAAAAUUGUUAAAUCCCAUUUGAAUAAAUGAAAAUCGAUGGAUGCAUGAUUUCCCGUAAUGAAUAUAGUUCAUCAUAUGUUGCGGACAGGAUUUAGCUCGGACAAGUAAUCCUGAUAUAGCCCUCUCGAGCAUCUUGUUAUAUAGUUCCUGCGAGCAUAUUGAUCGGUAGUGGUUUAGCAUGUGUUGCGCACUACUGCAGCUCUUUGUGAGUGGCUUGAUAUGCAAUCAGUUGUGAUCCAGCAUAUAAUGCAGACACAAACGCAACUCUACAUAAGCAUCC
rnacentral:lncRNA from 1 species